ensembl:lncRNA
CUGGUAAAACCUGGAGAAAGUGAGACUCUGCGAGGUCCUCACCGCGUAACUGGGCAUGCCCAGUGUGCAGUGCCGGUCUGGGGAGAAAGGAGUUAACUCCAGGGGAGCUUGCAGAUUAGGUGGCAAAGUCUGAGUCUGUGGCUAUAAAUGAUGGCUUGAGUCCUGUGGACAUUUACAUUCUUGUUCUUGUUAUAUUUCUACCCCGGGUUAGUUUUGGAGAAGAAACAGCAGAUAUUUUUAUUUCAACAUCACAAACCCAAUAGCCUCAGCCUCAGAUGCCAUAAGAGGUGUAUAGCUAAGAGUUUGCCUUGAAUCUCAGAAGAGACUUUGGAAUCUAACUUUUCAGCAAUGCUGGAACUGCUGACUUCAGCAACUGUUAGAGAUGGAC